GGGGAGAAGAACGGACAUUAUGGGGGACAACAAAGGAUACUGCCAAAGCCACCAAGCCUGUCUCACCUCAUGCUGGGGGAAAGAGUCACACUCACAGGCAUGCUGAAAAGCUCAUCUUUUAGGCAGGAUUUUGGGAAUCACUGAGGCACAUGGGACUCCAGGAGCUGGGGCAUUAAGAAAAACAUCAGCUAUCACAAGACUACAAAUAAAAGUUAUCACUUGAUCCAGUGAUGAGCUCCAUGGAAGAAGAUCCUGGUGCCUGCAGCAGAGCUCUGUGUUGGUACAGGGUCUUCUCAUGCUAUCUCACUGAAGAAUCAGGGCCUUAGACCCUUUUCCUGCUCAGGGAAUAUUUACCACAUCCCCAGCGUGGGCAGAUAUUUCUCAAUUCUUCUUUCAGCAUGCAGAAAUUUAACUGCUACUAAGCUUCACCUAUUGAAAACUA